UACGUAGGGUGCGAGCGUUAAUCGGAAUUACUGGGCGUAAAGCGUGCGCAGGCGGUUUUGUGAGCCAGAUGUGAAAUCCCCGGGCUUAACCUGGGAAUGGCAUUUGGGACUGCAAGGCUGGAGUGUGGCAGAGGAGACUGGAAUUCCUGGUGUAGCAGUGAAAUGCGUAGAUAUCAGGAGGAAUACCGAUGGCGAAGGCAGGUCUCUGGGCUGACACUGACGCUCAUGCACGAAAGCGUGGGGAGCAAACAGG
rnacentral:rRNA from 1 species